rnacentral:lncRNA from 1 species
AAUAUUGUCUCUACUGAUUUUAAUGUAAGGCUUAGUUUGGUAAUGAGGCAUAUCUAACGCUAUUAGAUAAAAUGGAGUUGAAAAAAAAGCAUACAGGGAUAUACUUCUGCGUUCUCUGGUGGGACCGUAGAAAUAUAUCGUAACCGACUCUUCACGAUAUGAGAAAGCAAUAUUACAUACGGAAACAAAUAGGAUAUUUUUUCAACGUACUUUUUCACCGCAUAUAAAGCAAUCUCUCAACAAUCCCAAAAGAAGCCUAAGAAAAAUCAUUUUAUUUUGAUAAACUCAAAGCUACCGUUUGGUUCGGGAUUAAGGAAAAACUAGUUAUUUCAGGGAUAGGAUUAAGUUCAGGGUUAAGGCGGGGUUAGAGUAUUUUUGUGUUUGGUUGGAGGUUGGAGUUAGUCCAGGAUAGUGAAAAAUAGUGUUUGGUUGGAAUAGGUGAGAUAAAAAGGAUAGUGGGUUAUUAUGAAUAGAAAAUAAUGUCUGGUUGGAAUUUGGAGGGGUUAGGUGGGAUUAGCUAAUCCGGAAUAGCCCAUUUGAGGUGGAAUUAACUAACACCAUCCAUUUUUGAAAUUGUUUAGGAAUAAUAUGGGGGUUAA